rnacentral:tRNA from 1 species
CAGGGAGACAACAAAAUGUUUAAUAUUAAUUUUGUCACCUUAGGUCGAUCGGUAUCUCACAUUCUUAAUUAAUUAAGAAUUUCAUAUCCUAAGUUUUUCUAGGUCACACCCAUCACUUUUCCUGGGCCAUUAGCUCAGGUGGUUAGAGCGCACCCCUGAUAAGGGUGAGGUCCAUGGUUCAAGUCCAGGAUGGCCCAUAUCUCUAUGUUGGGGGUAUAGCUCAGUUGGUAGAGCGCCUGCUUUGCAAGCAGGAUGUCAGCGGUUCGAGUCCGCUUACCUCCACUGAAUCACCACCUCUUCCAUAAUUUAAAGAAGGGAAAUGUUUUGAGUUGUGAUCAAAUUCUGAACGAAUCUAGCUUCCUAAUUUUUUUAAUUAAGAUGCUGGACUCAUUGAAUUAAAUUCAUUGUUUUCAGAGAACCUUGACAACUGCAUAGAUUAUUUUUAAAGACAAUAAGCAUCUUUAUGAUGCAGAUUUAUUAUUUGUGCGAAUGCAUUAAUAACAAUUCUAUUAAGCUGAUGCUUCAAUUUUUGAAGUUAUUG